GUGAAUUGAAUAUGUUAGCGGACCUCUUCGGAGUCCCUAGCAUCAAAUCAUAUCCAUAACACCUGUGAACUGUAAGGCUGUCUUGAAAACGAAAGUGAUUAGAGCGCCUGCCCAUUUAUACAAACAUUAAAGUAACAGAACGUAGUCUUAUUAUAAUCUAAUAA
rnacentral:misc_RNA from 1 species